rnacentral:lncRNA from 1 species
UGGGGUUCAGUCUUGAUGGGUGGGGAGGACCAGGCCUGGUGAAUUUGCGGAGAAAGGGCCUUCCAGCAGGAAAUAGUACAAACAAAGCGGGGAAGAUGGCCAGAAAGAAGCAAAGAAGAUGACAAGACCAAUUGGAGGUGAUAACCGGGAGAAACAUCUGUGUUGAAGGAUGAGGCAUGAAUUGAGAAGGAGGUCUGAUCCAUCAGGGAACAGCAGAAACUCUGAGAGCAACAACACUAUAUUAUUUUCUAACCACUGAUCUACUGACCAGACUUCAGGCUUCUCAAGCUAUU